rnacentral:rRNA from 1 species
UACAGAGGAUGCAAGCGUUAUCCGGAAUCACUGGGCGUAAAGGGUGCGUAGGCGGGUCUUUAAGUCAGGGGUGAAAUCCUGGAGCUCAACUCCAGAACUGCCUUUGAUACUGAGGAUCUUGAGUUCGGGAGAGGUGAGUGGAACUGCGAGUGUAGAGGUGAAAUUCGUAGAUAUUCGCAAGAACACCAGUGGCGAAGGCGGCUCACUGGCCCGAUACUGACGCUGAGGCACGAAAGCGUGGGGAGCAAACAGG